AGAGUUUGAUCCUGGCUCAGAUUGAACGCUGGCGGUAUGCUUUACACAUGCAAGUCGAACGGGCUUGGGGGCUUGCUCCCAGGUUAGUGGCGAACGGGUGAGUAAUAUAUCGGAACAUAUCCGGAAGUGGGGGAUAACGUAGCGAAAGUUACGCUAAUACCGCAUAUACCCUGAGGGGGAAAGGGGGGGAUCGCAAGACCUCUCGCUUUCGGAGUGGCCGAUACCGGAUUAGCUAGAUGGUGAGGUAAAGGCUCACCAUGGCGACGAUCCGUAGCGGGUCUGAGAGGACGACCCGCCACACUUGGAACUGAGACAC
rnacentral:rRNA from 1 species